rnacentral:lncRNA from 1 species
CUUUCUUGGUUCAUGACACAGAAUAGAACCCUAUGUAAGAAAAGUGUCUCUUCCUCUUUUGUGUGCAGCCCUCCCCCUGGAGCAGCCCACCAGGUUCUGCCAUCUUUUCCAGGCCAUGCCUGAGCCUUACCUGUUUUAGGAAAGGGUGACUCCUGCUUGGGGUAUUUGGUCCCUGGUCUUCCCUAGGGAGAUGGAUAGAGACAAGAAGCACCAGCAGCCAGGGAUUUAGCUCAACAACACUGCACCUGCCUUGUAAGCACAAGGUCCUGAGUUUGAUUCCCCGAUACUGCAAAAACAAGCAACAACAACAAAAAGAAGCACUAGCAGAGAGUCCAUACAGACCCUGCAGGAUUUGCUCACUGAUCUUUAUGCACUCAAGGUCAAAAUUGAAGACCUCAGGAAGGAUGUGGACAUGCUGAAGGAUAUGUUUGAAAAGGUACACCUGGAAAGACUGGAUCUCUUCUCUGAAGACUUGAAAACUCAGAACCGGCAGAUGAUGGUACUGAAGCGUGAAGUGAUGUCUCUCCAAAAAAUGAUUCACACCAUCCCCAGAUCUGAUGACAUGGUGCUCUGGAGUGGCCUCUAUGAGGCCAUGUUCACCCCAGUGAGUGGAGGAGGAGGAGCCGGGGCAGGAAGGUGGGCCGGCCGGCCCCAUCAGCCCAUUUUUCCUCAGGGCACUGCUUCACUAGAGCUGGAGCCGUCCAACAUGUGGCAGACCAUGGAGCCACCUCCACAGACUGCCUUUACCCAGACCCAGAACCUUGAAGAGAUUGUUCAUACCCAUGUUGCAGAGCCUAUCCAAGGUCCUAGGCUCCUACAGACUGCCUGGCACUCUGACAUCCAAGCACCCCUACCAGACCAGGAAUCUGUCCAGGCAUUUCCAUCUGGCAGUGCCAAGGGGCCAGGGAAGCCUCAGGCCCUCAUCACUGGGCCUGGGCCUGCAGCCAGACCUGCAACUAUGCUGGGACCAGAGUCCCAGGCCAUGGCUACAGUAGGGCCCCAUGUGACACAUGGGUUCACGCCAGCACCUUUGCCUGCCUUUGGACCUGAGACUGGCCCUUCUCUUUUCUGGGUGGAAGGUUUACUCCAGCCUGGCACAAGUCCAUCAGACUCCCUGCAGUCCCCUCAAAACCACCCCUCCAAGGCACCGCCCCUAGCUCGGGAGUUUGGAUCAGCAUGCCCUCUUUCACUGCAACCUUAUCAGCCUCGCAAGGCAGAGGCCCAUCAGCUCCCAGUGGUCGAAGAAAAGGAAGAAAAAUAUUUUACCCACUAUGUGAGACACACUCAGGAGGGAUCCUCCAAGACUGGAGUGCCCAAAGAGAAGGCCUUCCAGUGUGGGGUCCCCAAGGAUGGAGCCCUCAGGGACAGGGCCCCAGAAGCACAACCUAAGGGCUCCAAGCCUGCCCUGUAUCGGCUGAGAACCACCAUUGCCAACGCUGCCACUGCAGCCGCUGCCUAUGCAGCUGCCACAACCUCAGCAGCCUGGACAGCCAGGGCCGCAGCAAAGGCGUUAGAGGAUGUUCCUGCCACCAAAAUGGCCACCGAGGCAGCAACCAUGGCAGCAUCUGGGCCCUUAGGGGUCUUUGCAGAUGUCCUAGGUGGAGGGUUUUCCCGUGGAGCCCUAGACUCCACAACCCUUGGCACUGAUGGUGAGAAGCAGGAAGACUUGAUGACAGACUAUGAAACAUUCUCUCCCCCAUCUACCCUGGGCCUCAACAUUCAUGAAUCAGCACUGUCCCAGGCUAUGCUGUAUGCCACACAAGCCAUAAGCCCUGAAGACAAGAAGAAAGCCGUCAAGUACUCCAUGAGCCACAUAGCCCAAAUGCCUGUUAGACAUGACAAUUUGAAGGAAGAAUUUGCUCAUCUGUUAUCUGAUUUGCAGCAGUGCUUCAGUUAUCUAGUUGACAUGGCAGGUGCCUCCAGGAUUGGAAUGGCAGUGGACCUAUUGGAGGAAAAGGUUAACAACCUCCAGAAAUCUAGGCUAAAGGAAAAAGAACUGGAGAGAGUUUGGGAUACCCAACUAGAGACAAUGAAGAAUUACUACAUAGUGCUCGAUAGGGCAGUAGAAAAGAUCCAG